rnacentral:rRNA from 1 species
UACGUAGGGUGCGAGCGUUGUCCGGAAUUAUUGGGCGUAAAGAGCUCGUAGGCGGUCUGUCGCGUCGAUCGUGAAAACUUGGGGCUUAACCCUGAGCUUGCGGUCGAUACGGGCAUGACUGGAGUUCGGCAGGGGAGACUGGAAUUCCUGGUGUAGCGGUGAAAUGCGCAGAUAUCAGGAGGAACACCGGUGGCGAAGGCGGGUCUCUGGGCCGAUACUGGCGCUGAGGAGCGAAAGCGUGGGGAGCGAACAGG